UUGGUGGGUUCCUCCUCCUUAUAAUAUGGGUAGGUCCGGAGCAAUACUGUCAAAUCGUAAAAUGUAACUCUCUCUCUCUCUCUGUGAAAAGUGAGUCCAAAUAAACAAACAGACACGUACUGCUGCUGAAAAACUCAAAACCGCUCCCCCCACAUUUGCUGAUCCCAACACAACAGUAAACCCAAACCCUACACAGUCGACGCCAUUUUGGCUUCGCCGGAAAACAUGGCGUCGUCGAAGCUGAUCUCGUCGUCGUCAAAUUCCCGCAACUCCGACCUCUCCCGACGCCCCUCUUCCAAUUCCACAAAACCCUCACCCUCCUCCUCCUCCGCCGCCGCCAACCAAGCCCUAAACACCACCACCGCCGCCGCCGGCUACAUUAAUCCCACGCCGGUCCAGCUCGGCUCGAUGGCCGUCAACGGCCUCUUCUACAACAACAGCCUUUCCACCUCGGAGCUCGAAGCGCAAAUAAACCUGAUCGACACCGCCGGCUUGGAAAUCAACUCCGCCGCCAGCGUCAGCUCGCCCCCGCCGCCGCCGAGGCCGAAGACGGUCGACGAGGUCUGGCAGGAGAUUGUGUCCGGCGAGAGCCGGAAGGGGUGUAAAGAAGAGGUGACUGAUGAGUUGAUGACUCUCGAGGACUUUCUGGCUCGGGCCGGCGCGGUGGAGGAUAACGACAUUAAGGAUUUUCACCUUGUGCCGCCGCCGCCGCCGGAGACGGAGAGGUUGAGCGGAGGACUGAGCGGAGGGAUGUUUGGGUUCGAUCAGAUCGCACUGAGCCCGUUCCAGUCGAUUGAGAAGAUUGAAAAGGUUGAGGGAUCCAUAGUUGGCUUCGGAAAUGGUGCUGAGGUGGUGGCGAGUGGAGGAGGGAGGGGGAGAGGGAAGAGAGCCAGGGCUGUUUUGGAGCCAAUGGAUAAGGCUGCACAGCAGAGGCAGAGGAGGAUGAUCAAGAAUCGGGAGUCGGCGGCACGGUCCAGAGAGAGGAAGCAGGCUUACCAAGUUGAAUUGGAGUCGAUGGCGGUUAGAUUAGAGGAGGAGAACGAGCGGCUUUUGAAAGAGAAGGGCAUUUUGUAUAUUCAGCGGGUGCCUUAUGUGGGUAAAGGGUUGGUUGUUCAAAAGGGGAAGAACUUCGGACUUUGGUUAGAAGUCCGAGCUAAGGAAAGUAAUGGUUUGAAUUGAAAGAAGUUUCUUGCCAAAAGAAAAGAAAUUUGGAAGGGGCGAUAAAGUUCAAUAUCUAUGGAUACAAAGGUGGAUUUAAAAAGUAAACAGGAUGUUUUCUUGGAGUCGUAGCUGUGGUGUAUUUGAUUGGUAUUAUUUUCUUUAUCCUUUUCGAAUCAGAGAGAAGAAAAGAACCAGAUUUAAAUUUGAAGAAGAAAUAUUUAGAAAGAGGGAUAUGGGAUUUCAAGAUUGAGAAAACAUGAAGAAAGCAUAUGAAAAGUUCGAACAAACAAAAGAUUGGGAGGUUAAUCCUAUAUAGAAACAAGAAGAUGCUUGAAAGAAUGAAAUAGAUAAUGGAGAAUCAAAGAUGCUGGGUUUGAGAGAGUUGAUAAACAAUGAAAGGAAGAAUCAUAAUAUACUCAUGACUGCAAGUUCCAAUUUGAAGAAUCGGAUGUUUUGUAAGUUGCAGUAUUGCACAAUAAAUUUUAAAAGCAGAGGCUUGGGGAUUUGCGAGUAGAGUUCAUGUUGCUAUUUAUUGAGAGUUGAGAUUUAGAUUCUGAAAUGAGAAUUAGAUAAGAAUCAGAUGCAACUGGAAGAUGUUACCCCUUUGGAAUUGAAGUCCUUUGCCUCCUUUGGAACGACAAAGCCUUGACCUCACAUAAAGCACCCCUGAAAAUAUGAAAACGCCUUCAAAAAUAUGGGUAUGAAGGUGCUUGUAUGUGCCAUGUCAUUAAUUUGGCUGAAGGUGUGUAUGACAUUAUGUGAGAGUGUUACUUGUCACAUGGUUAAGUACCGAGAAAACAAAAGCUCAGACGGUUGAGUGCACCACGUGUGAUACUUUGGUAGGGUUUUUGUAAUUUAGCCAAAAAAAGUCAAAAAUUGUGCAUGCUUUCUAUAAGAAAACCCAUUUCACGUAUUUCUGUCAUUCAGAUACGAAGUUCCAGCUAGGCCAGGACCACCUACAGCUUUGUCCUCUCAUCAGCCACCAAUGCUACUUGGCUGAGAGGACCGAGGAAAGACUUAAGCAG